AUUUGACGGAAAAUAGCAUCAGGGUUCUUGAGACUGUUACACUCUAUGCCAAAAGCACAAGAUCCAAUCACAUCAGUGGUGAAACGUGCUAAAAUUUCCUUGAUCUCGAUUACGUUACUCUUCUUGAUGUCGCCAUUUAAGGUUUCAACAAGUUGCUCAGCCACCGAAACCACAGUGGGAAACAUGAACUUCAUUUGCCCAGAGGUAAAGGUGGGUGUUAAUUUAUUGCGCAUUACACGCCAUUUCUGACUUUGUAACAAAAACAAAUGCCCAGUGAUGGGAUCAUCCUCCUCGUUGACAUACAGGCCACGUUCGCUGAAGUUGUUGAAGUCUUUAAUUAACACCUGCUUGGUCAACUCCGGUGUGAGCACAAGGACCGACGGCUUUUGAAGAAAGUAAAGACCGCAAAAGGGGC